UCUUUCCUCAGGACGAACUCCUGUUCUUUCACGAGUUCUUCUCGCAAAUAUUCCCCAUCUUCUCCUCUGCCUUUUUUGGCAAAAUUUUGUCUUCCUGUGCUGUUUCGCUGCGCCCCAAUAUCGCGGAGUUCAACCGCUGUUGACCUCCGCCAUCGCCGUUUCCGUCAUCGAUAGAGGGGGAGCAACCAACCAAGCACUUCGACCUCGCUCCGCCGAACACCGCCUCCACCCAUCCCCUCACCUGCGCCGGGGAGCAACCGGAGGAGCGCCGCCGCCCACGCCCGAGACCGCCGCCGUUUUCCUCUGUACACGAUUGUCCGGAGUGCGAGUGGAUCGGAAUUAAUCGUUAGAGUACUUCAACAGCGUUUCAAGGCA